rnacentral:rRNA from 1 species
GACGUAGGGGGCAAGCGUUGUCCGGAAUUAUUGGGCGUAAAGCGCUCGUAGGCGGAUCGGUAAGUCUGUGAAGAAAGCCCCGGGCUCAACCUGGGAAUUGCAUUCGAGACUGCUCUGCUAGGGUGCGGAAGAGGGAAGCGGAAUUUCCGGUGUAGCGGUGAAAUGCGUAGAUAUCGGAAGGAACACCAGUGGCGAAAGCGGCUUCCUGGUCCAGCACCGACGUUCAGGCACGAAAGCGUGGGGAGCAAACAGG